rnacentral:tRNA from 1 species
GCCGCCGUAGCUCAGCCUGGUUAGAGCGCCGGACUCAUACGGUUCUGGGGACAUCCGGUUGUCCGGGGUUCAAAUCCCCGCGGCGGCA